AUCUAUAAUGAGCGGACAGAUUCCUGUUUUCUUUUUACGCCUUUUAUGCGUUGAUUGGGUUACCAAAAGCGAUGUUUAAUAAGUUCACUUAAAGAAUACUUGGAAAUAUUUAAGGGGAAGUUUUUAUGUAACGCAAGGACGUGCUUUCAUGGAUGACAUUUUGACCGAAGAGGUGGGAGGAAGUUCACGUAAGGGGACUAGUCACGUGGUUUAUUCACGUAUGACGUAUGUAACAUCCGCCUGAAAUCACAUUUUCACAUUCAGCUGUUCUCCUUCCUGUCAUGUCACACGGCUCCACACUGUCCAAUCAGCACUGAGCAGAUUGAUGCUUUCUCCCAUCUCUUUAAAGGUUCCAUUGUAGGAUGUGAGAGAGAUGGAUUGCUUUAUAGUAAAGACCGCGUCAUUUCCAUUAUUCAGCCUCUUGACUAAGCUACUGUGGUAGCGAAACAGCUGUCGAGGCGCAGUCCUGCGCGAAGAGGAAGGGGGCCCCCAUACCCAUGAACCUGUGGAAGAAGCUCAAGGUGCGGCUCAUUACCAGUGCGGACCCUUCGAACUGUUGGUGAUCUGGUAGUGACACUUUCGGAUGCCUGGUCUGUAUAAACUUUAUUUUUGCUUGCAUCUCGCUGCACUAACACUGGGAGCGCUAGUGGCUGUACCAGUAACAUAGUAACAUAGUAAGUAAGGUUGAAAAAGGACACA